UCACAAAAUGAUGAAUCUUCAUUACAUCUUUCUGGUACCUCUUAGAUGCAUGGACGCGCAAGUGUCCAGAUGACUUCAAAUGGACUUCUGACA
rnacentral:snoRNA from 1 species